rnacentral:rRNA from 1 species
UACAGAGGUCUCAAGCGUUGUUCGGAUUCAUUGGGCGUAAAGGGUGCGUAGGUGGCGCGGUAAGUCGGGUGUGAAAUUUCGGAGCUUAACUCCGAAACUGCAUUCGAUACUGCCGUGCUUGAGGACUGGAGAGGAGACUGGAAUUCUCGGUGUAGCGGUGAAAUGCGUAGAUAUCGAGAGGAACACCUGCGGCGAAGGCGGGUUGCUGGGCUGACACUGACGCUGAUGCGCGAAAGCCAGGGGAGCGAACGGG